CACAUAUACACAUAUGAAUAUAUUUAUAUACAUAAAGCUACAUGGUAUAUAUUUGUAUAACUGAAAGGAAAACUCAUCCUUCUUAUCUCCUUCUGUUCCCCUUCUGCCUAUAGAAACCAGUUAUGGGGAAGUAGGGAAUGGGGGAGUUUAGAUAAUGGUAAAAAGAUAAAAUAACAACAAAAAUAAUUUCAAAGAUUGUUUUCAAGUCAUUUUGUACUUAGGAAUGGUGAUGUAAGACAGAUGUUUAUGUUGUGUAUAUGUGCUGUUAACUGCUUGUUUCUUAGGCAGAAGUGUAGCCUGACUUGGUAAGAACAAGAGAGCACAAGCAAGACUACUUGCUGGGCAUUGAAAUAUAAAAUGCUAUCUGUAUUGUGCACAGAGGAAAAUUUUGCAGUAGAGACUUCACAUCAACAGACUUGUUAUGACCACAGCUAAUCACCCUAAACUGACCAUGUUAAAGAAAGAUUUAAGAUUUAAAAGAGCAUUUGAAAGUGCUGCCC
rnacentral:lncRNA from 9 species